rnacentral:piRNA from 1 species
UAGGAAACGAAUACAAAUGAUAAUCCA